CUGGGUCUCACGUAUGGGCGAGGAGAGUGCCCGAUUGGUUCAGAACCCUAACCUCCACCCCCACUCGCGCCCCUCUCCUUCGCUCCUGUCCUCCCCCGCCGCGCCGCCAUCUUCCCCGCACUCGUCGCCGCCGCUCCCGCGUGCUCCGCCUCCUCCCCUUCCCUCGUUCUCGUGCAGCCGCCGCGGCGCUCCCGCAUCUCCUCCCCUUCCUCUCCCAACGCCACGUUCGCGGAGGUGCUGCAGAUCCCCGCCGACCAGGCCGCGCUGGCGCUCGGGGCGCUCGCCGCCGUGCUCCCCGGUGACGACGACACCCCCGCAGCGGACGACGCGUCGGAGGCCGACCUCCACGCAAACCCUAGCGCAGCUCAAGGCGAAGCUCGUGGCGUUGGGGCCGGGCACGUGGGUGGCGCGGUGCUCGCGGAGGCGCUACAGAUCCCCGCCGAGCAGGUCGCGCUGGCGCUCGGGGUGCUCGCCGCCGUGCUCCCCGGCGACGACGACGACCCCGCAACGGACGGAGCUGGCGCCUCCCCGCCCCCAUCUAUCCACUCCGUCCAGUUCCUGCAGAAGCAUUCUAGAAUCAGCAACUGAAAUAGGCAAAGUUAGCAACUAGAAUCUGGGGUGGGAAAUAGGCAAAUACAGGAAGCAUAAUGGGGAGUUUGUCUUCGCGACAAUUAUGGAGCGGGUGCUCUGCUUCGAAUAUAUGCAUGGCGGAAGCCUUGAUAAACACAUUGAAGAUGAAGCUUGCGGGCUUGAGUGGCCCACAUGUUACAAGAUUAUUAAAGGGACUUGUGAGGGAAUAAAUUACCUUCACAACUCCCAGGAAAGGCAUAUUUACCAUCUGAACUUAAAGCCUGGUAAUAUUUUGCUGGAUAAAAGUAUGACCCCCAAGAUUGCAGAUCUUGGUUUGUCAAGACUUGUUGAUUCAAUAGAAACAGAUGAACCAGAUAUGCGCCAGGGAACACUGUAAGUUGAUGGAUGAUCAUACUCUGAGCCGUUCAUUUUUUCAAAGAUAUUCUGAAAAAAAAAUCCUUGUAUUUUUAACUAACUAUUAACCAUAUAAAUUAAGGUUAUCCCUUUAUGAGAUAUUCUGAAUAAACAGAUGAACCAUUUAUUUUAUCUCCUGCCAAAAUAAUGAGAUGAUCUAUAUUUAUGUCCCUUCUAUUUUAAUUAGAUAGUGUUAUCAGGGAUAUAUAGUUUUGGAAGUUCAAACUAGAUCUAUUCAUUAUUAUUAGUAGUUGAGCUGCUGAUUGUAACAAUAUGCUUACGUGAGUUUCAGACUAAGUGCUCUAAUAUUCAUUAUUAGUCAAAUUACUUACUAUUGAAAUGUCGUGGUUCUCUAUAUAUGUCAUCUCUCAUUGGAUGUCUGAAUUUAGACUCCGGCUGUAGGGUUGUUUGUGUUGUGUGGUAUGAAUUGCCUUUGUACUUCAAAAUGCAUGUAUCAAGUGUCGAUUUUCUAAUAAAACGAUCUGUAUAUCUGCAUUACAGUUGGAAUAUUCAUAUGUAUGGUUUCAUGCUUCCAAGAAUAACAAACACUAUGCACCCAGCUCUCUCUUUUGUGGCCACUAACCAUUCACUUUCUUUUGUUCCUACAACCUGCAUUGGCGUAAGUUUGAUUUUAUAUUGCCUACUUCAAGCACCGAUGGACCACCACAUGUUUGAAUUAUUUGUUUUUCAGAGAUUAUUUCUCUGGAUUUCCAUUUUUAUUGAUCAGAAGGCACGGGUGCAGGUAUCAACAAUUACAGUGUUGAGUGGUCGUAACCACCCACUUUUGUGCCCACAUUUUUCAAAAAUACUGCAAAGAUACAUUUGAUUUUAAUUAUGUUAAAAACAACGGUUUGGUCUGGACUAAGUACAAAGUACCAAAUUGACAUUUCCCCUUGGUUAUUUACUUACUGUACUGUGUCAGAUGGCAAUAAGUAGGUGAAUUAUAUGCUGGGUUGCAAAUUGUACUUCUAAGUAAGACCACAUGAACUGCUAAUCAGAUUAUCCGUGUAAUAAAAUCUUCUUUAAUCUAAGCUUCAAAGCUACAUGAACUACCAUAUUUUCUGAUUUGUUGGCUGCACUAAAAAUAGGGACAUGCUCUAAUAGUUAUUUGCAGUAGUACUGUUAGCCAAUUGAUACUAGGUGUGCAUGAAUAUUUGCCUUGCCAGUAUGAUUUGAUUCGGACGUGGAUGGGUCCUGUCUUUUAUUCUGCUUGUUUCUUCCCGUGUUCCUCAUCUUUCUGGAUGUGUCGCAGUUGGGACGGUGGCGUGCCGGAAGGGCUGUCUUGCGAGUUGACCGGAGUGGGAGUACACCAGAGAGGCUUCUGAGAUGGCUGAGGGAUCUGUCUAAGGUUUGCUGGUUGAUUUGUCCUGGCUGGGGUCUGCUUGUUCUCUUGGCUCCUGGGCUGUGCUGCUCGAAGUUGCUUCACUGGUUUCCUUGCAGGCACCCAAGCUUUUCUUCGCGCGAUGGCAUCAGGCACACGGAGGGAGCUCUUCUUCAUCGGUGCGAUGAACAAUGACCGUGAUCUCCGUUCCACACCGUCACCAGCUAGCAAGAUGAAGCAUUCUGUCACGGUUAGGCCGAAGGCUAUGCUUAGCGCCGUUCUUGCUGAAGAUGGUUUACCCGAGGUGAAGUACAAGACCUGCGCAUCCUACCGUGGCCGUGUGGCGGCUACUCCAUCACAGUCGCGUUCAUCUGCAGCGGCAGAGCAUAUGAGGAUCAAUGGCGACCCAGCUGUGGAUGCCAAUGGGCCAUGCAAAAUGCUGCUCCUCGGUGCGCUGCUCCUCGGUGCUUGGAGCAUCUUCAGGCCACCAUGGAUAUUGAAUUUGACUGCCCUCAAAUGCAGAAAAUUAAGACCGAGAUGAAGUACCUGUCGGGCAGUGUCGACGAGAAAGACAGGAAGAUCAGAGAUCUGAAGGCUAAGGCGGGUCAACGGGCUUACCAAGGGCUGGGGUCACUGGCAGAUUACCUGCUCGGAUCUGCAUAUGAUCAAGCUUUGCUUCCGACUGGUUCUUCAGUAGUUCGUUUUUUAUCAUAGCUGAAAAUGCAUUGCACCGUGUAUGCUUACUCUCCUAUGAUGCUUUCUACGCUCUUGUGUUAGGUAAGGGGCAGUACUUGCUUCGAUCAUUUUGAUUCUGAUUAGAUCUUUAUUUCCAUUUGACUUCCUGCUGUAUCUUCAUCUCCAUUUAACUUAUUGAUAUGGUUUUGUUUCAUUCUGUUUUAGCGUACUUACAAUUAAUAACUUUAUAAUCAACUCCUGACGUCACUAUUUCGUAGUUUGUUUUGUUUAGAACAACUUGACAUGCACCCUUUUACCUCACGCACUCAAGAUAUAAUAUUUAUCUUUAUUUAUAUAUACAACAACUUCAUGGAUGGGUGUUUGGAGGUUUCUGAGGCUGCAUUAUGAAUAGGUGAUAUUAAGCGAAUACCAGUAUUUUUAGGUGCAUUUUAUCGGCCAUCUAUUUACAGCUUCAGUUACUUCAUACGUUAGUCCCAUUUGAACACAUGGUGAUAAUAUCAUGCUUUCUUCUUAUCGUCGGAAUAGCAGCCUGGGUUACUGCUAACUUAACAUUACACGCUUGACCAAAACGUUCGGACCGGCACCCUCACGUCAAGGCGCGUACCCGAUCUAGUUGUAUUUGACCAUGGGUUCUAGCUUGGCAUCAGGGACAAACUACAGGGGGACAUCAAUCGCUCUCGCCUCUCGCUUAUCCACUUGUUAUGCAACUUGUGAUGAUUGGGCCCAAAGAGAGGCAUUGGCUAUAUGCCUAUAUGUACAUCAAUAAUGCUCCAGGUUCCACUCAAAAAAAAAAAAAAAACUCCAUGUUAGCCAGCCAUGUCGGCCAAGUGACUAUUGAUGAUAUCCUACAGGUAAUUCCGGUCAUUAUCAAGGUGGUUAGUGACACUGACACCAUAUCUGGUCCAGCAGCUAAACACAGCAGGUAGAAGAAGGAAAAAAAAGGUCUCUCUGGAUUAUUGUACUAGACUUGUUAAUUUGCGCCAUUAUGAGUUAGUAUUUUUGUAUAUCUUCACCUGUCUGUUCAUGUACUUAUUUACAUAAAAAAAUCCAUCUGGGUGUUUAUUAUAGAAUGAUAGAUGCAUGACACGGAUAAACAUUUGAGCUAUAAUACUGUAGAUAGUAGUAUUUCUCAGUUGUUUCAAUUCACGCAGCAGAGUAGUCAUCUUCGUUGCUAACACUAGAGAAAAAAAACUAGUUUUCUGUCCAAGUACUUAUGGAGAAGCGUUCGCUUGAAUUGCAGGUGGAACUGGCCACUCAGAUCAACAUAUAUCAUAAUCAACAGCCGACAUGCACACUCAACGCCGAAGACGACAAUUUUGGAGAAGCUAUGGCAAGCGUUGUUAAAAGUUAGGAAAAGAUGCUCAGUAUGGGAAGCUAUCAGCAAUAACAGUUGGAUAUCCAAAAUCAAACGACUGUCAGACCAUAGUUGCCAGAAAUUUGGGUCGAUCGGGUCGAGGAACGGGGUCGCGGGACGGGGAUCGCGACGUCUGAAAUCGAGGGUCGAAGAGGGCUACUCAUCUUCGGGACGGUAUUUUGGAUCGCGGUAUGCGACCCCGCUAAAACUGGGUCGAAAAAUUCGGGUCGAUCUUGUCGUUCCCUCAGGGAAAUAUUAGGAUAUGCGGUGAUACAUUCCUAAAUCCCCCAGAAUUUUCUCGUCUAAUAAAUGUUUCCAUUAAAUUGUCAUCAGGCUCAUAAAUCAGCUCACGGCUGCUUGGGCGUGAUUUUCUCAACUAUCUAUUUCUCUCAGACUUUCACACAAAGCGUUCUGCACUUCUGCACAAGAACUAUCCAUCUCCAGUCCCUCUAUCGCCUUCUUCGCUUCAUUGGCAAAGCUCUAGCGAACUAGUCCGCCAUGGAUCCAUCUCCAAUCCUCCACCCGUCCAGCACUCUCCACCCUCCAGCCUCGGAUUCUUAAGCGGGUCACUGGUCUCGUCGACGUAUGGCGCGAGCGUGACGGGAGAGGAUGAAUACGGCAACAGCUCCAUGGCCGGCCGACGGCAGGCAGGCUGGUAAGGCUCAAUUUUCUCACAAAUCUUCAUACAUAUUCUUCGCUUCUUCCAUACCAAUCUGGAUCGGCACCCAUCGAUCAGGGUCGCGACCCAUCCAGCGACCCAACUCGACCCUAGGUCGUUCCCGACCCUCGAUCUGGUCGAUCGACCCCGAGUCAGGGAUCGCACCCGUCGAUGCCCUGUAUAUAGCGGGAGCGGUUGCCCGGCGGGGGGGGGGGGGGCAUUUCAGCCCGCGCUUUUCCCCACCCACCGCCGCCUAUGAUUCUGGCCAUACCAGUCGUCAGGAUCACGCCGGCGGGCCGCCACACGCCCGAGAUUGUCCUCCACAACUUCCUCCUGCCUCGGACGGCCGGAAAGUUGCAGAUCGGCGGCUGUUUAUCGCGGCCGCCGGAUUUGGCGUUUUCUGCCACCGGCGGCUGCGCCAAGCCGUGGAUUGGUCAGGGAGCACCCCGCACAGCCCCGGCAAAGCCCCAACGCCCCAUGCUGGUACUGGUUCGUCCUCUAGCCGCCGUCGUCGGUUUGCCGGCAAGGACUCGGCCGGCCGUCGCCCGGGCUCAGCGCUUGCGCAGCGGCUCGCCGGCUCGCCAUGCCGCUCAUACAAUGCGACGACUGCACACAGACAGUGCUGCAGCUAACAUCUAGCACGCCGCAACACCCCAGAUGGGUAUUCUUCAAAUGCGAAAACGACGGGGAAGGUGGACGCUCAUUUUGGUAUUGGGAAGAAGAAUACAUCGAUUUAUUGAUAGGAAGAAACUUAAUAGAUGUUUGUGCACUCGUUGGUAGAACUGAGGCUAAUGAUGCGGCUGCAUGUGCAAUUAGAGAAGAAACUAUAGGGGAAGCAACGUCUACUUCUUUAGAAUCAAAAAAGAAGAAUGAAUAAUGCAAGAUUAAGAAUCUGUAGAUCAACAAUGAAGGCAUGAAGAAGAUGUUGGUCCAACUAGUGGGAGCAGUUAUGAAAGUUGGAUAUCUUCUAAAAUGCCUAAUUGUGGUUCUUGUUUUCUUUGGUCUUACUAUUCUAGCAAAGAUUUGGUGAAUUAUUAUGUAUCCAAUGCCCUUGAAGAAAAUAAAGAAGCAAAGAAAUGUGUUUUCAUGC